rnacentral:lncRNA from 1 species
AAACACCUACCUCUCGAGUAUUGACAAAACAGUGUGUAGAAAGAAUAAAUAAAUAACUGAAGGAAGGCAGGCGGCCAACCCUGAGGAGCUCGCAGCCCCGCCCCCUGCCAGGAGCUUGCACUUGGGGCCUGCAAUCCGCACAUUACCACAAGAUGAGCGGGAAGAUAGCGGUGCUGAGCCUCUCUGCCUGGGGGAGUGGGGGGUUGCUUUUCCUGUGGCAGAAACUAUCUGUGCUCCCCAGUAUGCCCAGGAACAAUCUCCACUUAUUAUACCAGCUCAAAACCCAGGACUGUUUAUAGCCUCACGCCGACAAGACACUAACCCUCACUCAUUACUGUCACCAUGGGGAUUGAUCUGUCCCACACUCUCCUUGCAUGUGGCCCACAUUUUCAUCCAGUAAAAUCACACGUUGUUAACUCAAUAUAUACAGUGAAAACAGCAUGAAUAAUGGAACCUUUAAUCCUUAUUUCUCAAAAUUAGAUUCUACUUUAUCCUUCUCCCCUUUCCUCUCUUAAAAAAAAAAAAAAAAUCUCAGUGCUUAGCAGAAUAGAUGUUGUCCAAACCUUAGCUCUAAGCAGAUUCUGUGGUAUUUCCAUUCCAGGACCAGGUCCCAUUGCAGAUCCGAUUUCUGGGUGGAUUGAUUGCAUUUCUUCCCCUGGUCACUUCACACGUGACUCGGGAGAAAUUAACAUCAUCCCUGUCACAGCGGAAGAGAUGAAUGCAUUGACAAAAACCUCCUGCUCUGAAGGUUCUUCCUCUGGGGAAAUGCGUGGUGCCCACCUCCUCCAGGGUCAGGCACGGUCAGGACUGACCUCAGGAUUCUGGUGAGCUGCUGGGGAGCGGGCCAGGGAGAUGCAUGGGCUUUGUACCAGAAGAGGCAAAUUGAAUAGGAAUGGGAAACUUCAGAUUUUUACCACCUUGAGAUGUCCUCUUCUACAGAAAUGAGUGUUUCUGGUUAAACUCUAUAUGCAUGCA